rnacentral:rRNA from 1 species
AGCUCCAAUAGCGUAUAUUAAAGUUGCUGCAGUUAAAAAGCUCGUAGUUGCAUUUCCGAGGCAAGGGAUUAGUCCGACCUUUGGUGGGUAUUUAAUCCUCUUGCCUCGUCCUUGAGUGGUGCUUCUUGGUAUUAAGUUAUCGAGGAGAUAGCCGCUCAUCGUUUACUGUGAGAAAAUUAGAGUGUUCAAAGCAGGCUUAUGCCGUUGAAUAUAUUAGCAUGGAAUAAUAAGAUAGGACCUCGGUACUAUUUUGUUGGUUUGAGAACCAAGGUAAUGAUGAAUAGGGACAGUUGGGGGUAUUCGUAUUCAGUUGUCAGAGGUGAAAUUCUUAGAUUUACGGAAGACGAACUACUGCGAAAGCAUUUACCAAGGAGGGUUUCA